rnacentral:rRNA from 1 species
UGUAGCUGGCCUUUCGCGAGGCAUGUGCACGCCCUGCUUCAUCCACUUUACACCUGUGCACACUUUGUAGGCUCAGAUGAGUGCCGGGGCUUUUUGACCUGGUGUGAGUCUGGCCUAUGUCUUUACACACUCUGAUCAGUCAAUGAAUGUCAUCGCGUUAAACGCAUUUUAUACAACUUUCAGCAACGGAUCUCUUGGCUCUCGCAUCGAUGAAGAACGCAGCGAAAUGCGAUAAGUAAUGUGAAUUGCAGAAUUCAGUGAAUCAUCGAAUCUUUGAACGCACCUUGCGCCCCUUGGUAUUCCGAGGGGCACACCCGUUUGAGUGUCGUGAAAUUCUCAACCCAAACACCUUUUGUGAGGUGUCUGGGCUUGGACUUUGGGGGUCUGCUGGCUUCUGUCGGCUCUCCUUGAAUGCAUUAGCUCGAACCCUUGCGGAUCGGCUGCCGGUGUGAUAAUUGUCUACGCCGUGGCUGUGAUGCCACCUUCGGGUGUGGUCGGCUUCUAAUCGUCCUGAGAGGGACAACUCUUUUGAAAUCUGACCUCAAAUCGGGUGGGACUACCCGCUGAACUUAAGCAUAUCAAUAAGCGGAGGAAAAGAAACUAACAAGGAUUCCCCUAGUAACUGCGAGUGAAGCGGGAAAAGCUCAAAUUUAAAAUCUGGCGGCCUUUGGCCGUCCGAGUUGUAGUCUGGAGAAGUGCUUUCCGUGCUGGACCGUGUACAAGUCUCCUGGAACGGAGCGUCAUAGAGGGUGAGAAUCCCGUCUUUGACACGGACUACCAGUGCUCUGUGAUGCGCUCUCAAAGAGUCGAGUUGUUUGGGAAUGCAGCUCAAAAUGGGUGGUGAAU